rnacentral:rRNA from 1 species
UACAGAGGGUGCAAGCGUUAAUCGGAUUUACUGGGCGUAAAGCGUGCGUAGGCGGUUCAUUAAGUCGGUUGUGAAAUCCCUCGGCUCAACUGAGGAACUGCCUCCGAUACUGUUCGGCUUGAGUCCCGGAGAGGGUAGUGGAAUUCCCGGUGUAGCGGUGAAAUGCGUAGAGACCGGGAAGAACACCAGUGGCGAAGGCGGCUACCUGGACGGGUACUGACGCUGAAGCGCGAAAGCUAGGGGAGCAAACAGG